rnacentral:lncRNA from 1 species
AAAGCACCGGGACAUCUGUCCAGCUGUCAGUCGGUGAAUGACCUCCAUGCACCUCUAGCAGCAGAAAAAGAGGCAGAAAGACUCCAGAAAGACAAUUCUAUGUUGGGACACUAACUGUGCACACACACACUCACCAGAGAGCUGCUGCUGGGGCUGCUGCAGCCUGGCCUUGGGAACUGCAGGGGAGGGGAGAGGGGAAAGAAACCCCACAGUGCCCGAGCCACGGCAGGAACAAACCCCACAGUGCCUGAGCCACAGCAGGAACAAACCCCACAGUGCCCGAGCCACGGCAGACACAAACCCCACAGUGCCCGAGCCAUGGCAGACACAAACCCCACAGUGCCCGAGCCACGGCAGGAACAAACCCCACAGUGCCCGAGCCACGGCAGGAACAAACCCCACAGUGCCCGAGCCAUGGCAGACACAAACCCCACAGUGCCCGAGCCACAGCAGACACAAACCCCACAGUUUGUUACCUGAGCCACAGCAGGAACAAACCCCACAGUGCCUGAGCCACAGCAGACACAAACCCCACAGUGCCCGAGCCAUGGCAGACACAAACCCCACAGUUUGUUACCUGAGCCAUGGCAGACACAAACCCCACAGUGCCCGAGCCACGGCAGGAACAAACCCCACAGUGCCCGAGCCACAGCAGACACAAACCCCGCAGUGCCCGAGCCACAGCAGGAACAAACCCCACAGUGCCCGAGCCACAGCAGACACAAACCCCACAGUGCCCGAGCCAUGGCAGACACAAACCCCACAGUGCCCGAGCCAUGGCAGACACAAACCCCACAGUGCCCGAGCCACAGCAGGAACAAACCCCACAGUGCCCAGCUGUACCGCCCUGGCACGGGGGCCAGCAGGUUGGGAGGGCAGCGAGGGCAGGAGGGUGUCCUGCACAGCAAGGACACAGAGCACCUGAGAACUCACAGAACAGCUGCUCUCUGCCUGCCCUGCAGGCUCCCACCAGGGGUGCUCAGCCUGCAGAAGAGAAGGCUUCAGGGAGGCUCCACUGCAGCUGUGGCACUGAGCACUGCGGGAUCAGCACCCCAAACUCAGCACCCACCAUCCAUCUCUGGUCUCUCAGCUUUACAGAUCUGCCUCCUAAAUCCCCAACUGUUUUUCUCAUUAGACCCAGUGAAAAUGCAUGUGCUUCUAAUGCUUUUAAUUAAAUGAUUAUUUGGAAAUCUGAUGUGUUGAAUAAAACUGGAGUAAUCCUGUACCCUAAUAACUCC